rnacentral:lncRNA from 1 species
UAAUGAAAUAUUUUGAAAUAUAUAAAUGUAUCAGGAAUAAUCAAUUCUCAAUGCGUGAAGAGUCUUCCGAUUAAUAAAGCAACGCAAUAUCACAAAGCUGGAUUUGAUGGUUCAACUAAUCAAAGGAUUUAUAAACAAAACAGAAAGCAGUUCUCGCAAUUUAUUAAAUGUAAGUUCUUUAUUUUUGACUUGUGUUAUUCCUUUAGAGCUAUUUACAAGUACAGAUGAAAAAAAAGUUAAUUUAUGAAGAAACUUAAAGACAUUAUUCAUAGUCCCUAUUCACUUCACAAGAUACAACCAACUAUUAUACCUCACCUUAUUUAAUGAAAGAUAUAAAAUUGAGAAAAUUCAAAGACGAUCUACAAAAGUCCUAACCAUAUGCAAGCAUCUUUGUUACACAGAUAGAUGUUACUUAUUUCAAAUUCAAAAACUGGAGGAUUGUAGAAUAAGAGAUGACUUAAUUCAAAAGUUUAAAAUUAAAAAAGAUUUUACCAUCAUUAAUUGGCACAAUAAACCGAUUAUACAUCGGAUGCUCAGAUACACGUUGUCAGAUACACGUUGGUCAGCUAAGAUUGACAAUGUAAAAUCUUUUGUAGAACAUUUUCCUGGUUUAAAGAGUGUUAUCCAAGACUUUAAGAAGCUAAAUCUUACUGCCGAGACUCAAUUAGAUAUCAAACGUAUUAAAAAAUACUUGGGUUUAUUUGAGUGCAUCAUACUUGCGAGCGCCUGGUUUAAAAUUUUAACAAUUAUCAAUUAUAAAAACACAGUUCUGCAAGCCAGAGAUGCAACUUUAGGUGUGGAGGUUUUAAAUUUAAAAAGCCUAAUUGAUAACCUCUUAUUAUUGAGAAACAACUAGGAUCUAAUUUUAAAUGAAUGUAAACUUGUUGCUGAAAAUCUGGUUAUGGUUUCCGAUGACAUAUUCCCGGAGUAAAGACGCAGACGAAAAGCUAGAUUUUCAGAUGAGGAACCAAAUAAUAAAUUAGACGAAAUUUAUUUCAAGCGCGAUGUUUUUACUUUUUUUUAGACUGUGUUAUUGGUAUUAUGAAUUGGCGUUUUGAGGCAGGCAAAGAUCUUGAGGAAACAUUUGGUACAUGAUAUAACAUUUGCAAAUGCAUGACAUUAAAUAAAAAUCUGUUGAAUGAGAAAGCUUCAUCUACUUGCGUUAAAUACAGUAUUGAUGUUUCUCUUAAUUGAAUAGAGGAGUUAUUAUAUUUAAAGGCAAUUUACGCAUCAAAUCUUGGAAAAAUAAUCUUACCACCGUUUCAAUGAUUAAAAAAAUUUCGUGAAUUGAAGCUUGGUUCUCUUUUCUCAAACAUUUUAGUUGUUCUUAGAAUCUUUUUUACUCUUUCAAAGACUGUUGCACAAGCAUAACGUUCUUUCAGCACGCUUGCAAGAGUUAAAAAUGUUUUAAGUUUAACGAUGCGUCAAGAUCGACAUUCUAGUUUUGGAAGACUGGCAAUGGGGACGCCUUUUGAUAGAAAGUUAGACUUUGAAAAUGUCCCCGUUACUGCUAAUGUCCUCUUGAAGCAAAAGACACUGAUUGAGUCCUUGGAGAUUGUAGUUUGUUGUUGAAUUUAGUAGUUUGAGGGAAAUGAAAGUUCACUUCAUCAAUCUGUUUUACCAAAAGAAGGGAUUUGAAGCAUUUUACUUUGAAAUAACAACAACACUUUUGCAAAAGAUAUUUCUUGAAAUAAUUCUAUUUUAACAUAUCAUUUCAUGAAUGUUGAUCACCAAAAUUAAAUGAAAAUAUUACGCCA